rnacentral:rRNA from 1 species
ACGGGAGGCAGCAGUGGGGAAUAUUGCACAAUGGGGGAAACCCUGAUGCAGCGACGCCGCGUGAGGGAAGAAGGUUUUCGGAUUGUAAACCUCUGUCUUCAGGGACGAUAGUGACGGUACCUGAGGAGGAAGCUCCGGCUAACUACGUGCCAGCAGCCGCGGUAAUACGUAGGGAGCGAGCGUUGUCCGGAAUUACUGGGUGUAAAGGGAGCGUAGGCAGGGCAGCAAGUUGAAUGUGAAAUCUAUGGGCUCAACCCAUAAACUGCGUUCAAAACUGUUGCUCUUGAGUGAAGUAGAGGUAGGCGGAAUUCCUAGUGUAGCGGUGAAAUGCGUAGAUAUUAGGAGGAACACCAGUGGCGAAGGCGGCCUACUGGGCUUUAACUGACGCUGGGGCUCGAAAGCGUGGGUAGCAAACAGAAUUAGAUACCCUGGUA